rnacentral:rRNA from 1 species
AKAWUUCGGKSUAKAGUUUGAUCCUGGCUCAGGAUGAACGCUASCRACAGGCUUAACACAUGCAAGUCGAGGGGCAGCACGGGAGUAGCAAUACAACUGGUGGCGACCGGCGCACGGGUGAGUAACGCGUAUGCAACCUACCUAUCAGAGGGGAAUAACCCGGCGAAAGUCGGACUAAUACCGCAUAAAACAGGGGCACCGCAUGGUGAUAUUUGUUAAAGAAAUUCGCUGAUAGAUGGGCAUGCGUUCCAUUAGGUAGUUGGUGAGGUAACGGCUCACCAAGCCGACGAUGGAUAGGGGAACUGAGAGGUUGGUCCCCCACACUGGUACUGAGACACGGACCAGACUCCUACGGGAGGCAGCAGUGAGGAAUAUUGGUCAAUGGGCGGGAGCCUGAACCAGCCAAGUCGCGUGAAGGAAGAAGGAUCUAUGGUUCGUAAACUUCUUUUGCAGGGGAAUAAAGUGCAGGACGUGUCCUGUUUUGUAUGUACCCUGAGAAUAAGGAUCGGCUAACUCCGUGCCAGCAGCCGCGGUAAUACGGAGGAUCCGAGCGUUAUCCGGAUUUAUUGGGUUUAAAGGGUGCGUAGGUGGUUUGAUAAGUCAGCGGUGAAAGUUUGCAGCUUAACUGUAAAAAUGCCGUUGAAACUGUCGGACUUGAGUGUAAAUGAGGUAGGCGGAAUGCGUGGUGUAGCGGUGAAAUGCAUAGAUAUCACGCAGAACUCCGAUUGCGAAGGCAGCUUACUAAGCUACAACUGACACUGAAGCACGAAAGCGUGGGGAUCAAACAGGAUUAGAUACCCUGGUAGUCCACGCAGUAAACGAUGAUUACUAGCUGUUUGCGAUACACAGUAAGCGGCACAGCGAAAGCGUUAAGUAAUCCACCUGGGGAGUACGCCGGCAACGGUGAAACUCAAGGAAUUGACGGGGGGCCCGCACAAGCGGAGGAAMAUGUGGUUUAUUCGAUGAUACGCGAGGAACCUUACCYCGGUUUGAACGUAGGGAGAMAGGRAUGGAAACAUUCUAUCAGCAAUGACUGCUACGAGGGUGCUGCAUG